AGUGAACGCUGGCGGUAGGCCUAACACAUGCAAGUCGAACGGCAGCACAGUAAGAGCUUGCUCUUACGGGUGGCGAGUGGCGGACGGGUGAGGAAUACAUCGGAAUCUACUUUUUCGUGGGGGAUGACGUAGGGAAACUUACGCUAAUACCGCAUACGACCUACGGGUGAAAGCAGGGGAUCUUCGGACCUUGCGCGAUUGAAUGAGCCGAUGUCGGAUUAGCUAGUUGGCGGGGUAAAGGCCCACCAAGGCGACGAUCCGUAGCUGGCCUGAGCGGAUGAUCAGCCACACUGGAACUGGGCCACGGUCCAGACUCCUACGGGAGGCAGCCGUGGGGACUAUUGGACAAUGGGCGCAAGCCUGAUCCCGCCAUACCGCGUGGGUGAAGAAGGCCUUCGGGUUGUAAAGCCCUUUUGUUGGGAAAGAAAAGCAGCAGGUUAAUACCCCGCUGUUCUGACGGUACCCAAAGAAUAAGCACCGGCUAACUUCGUG
rnacentral:rRNA from 1 species